rnacentral:rRNA from 1 species
GAAACUGCGAAUGGCUCAUUAAAUCAGUUAUCGUUUAUUUGAUAGUACCUUACUACUUGGAUAACCGUGGUAAUUCUAGAGCUAAUACAUGCUAAAAACCCCGACUUCGGAAGGGGUGUAUUUAUUAGAUAAAAAACCAAUGCUCUUCGGGGCUCCUUGGUGAUUCAUAAUAACUUAACGAAUCGCAUGGCCUUGUGCCGGCGAUGGUUCAUUCAAAUUUCUGCCCUAUCAACUUUCGAUGGUAGGAUAGUGGCCUACCAUGGUUUCAACGGGUAACGGGGAAUUAGGGUUCUAUUCCGGAGAGGGAGCCUGAGAAACGGCUACCACAUCCAAGGAAGGCAGCAGGCGCGCAAAUUACCCAAUCCCGACACGGGGAGGUAGUGACAAUAAAUACUGAUACAGGGCUCUUUUGAGUCUUGUAAUUGGAAUGAGUACAAUUUAAAUCCCUUAACGAGGGACAAUUGGAGGGCAAGUCUGGUGCCAGCAGCCGCGGUAAUUCCAGCUCCAAUAGCGUAUAUUAAAGUUGUUGCAGUUAAAAAGCUCGUAGUUGAACCUUGGGCCUGGCUGGCCGGUCCGCCUCAC